ACGGAAGGCAGCAGUGGGGAAUAUUGGACAAUGGGGGAAACCCUGAUCCAGCGACGCCGCGUGAGUGAAGAAGUAUUUCGGUAUGUAAAGCUCUAUCAGCAAGGAAGAAAAUGACGGUACUUGACUAAGAAGCUCCGGCUAAAUACGUGCCAGCAGCCGCGGUAAUACGUAUGGAGCAAGCGUUAUCCGGAUUUACUGGGUGUAAAGGGAGCGUAGACGGCAAAGCAAGUCUGAAGUGAAAUCCCGGGGCUCAACCCCGGAACUGCUUUGGAAACUGUUUAGCUAGAGUGCAGGAGAGGUAAGCGGAAUUCCUAGUGUAGCGGUGAAAUGCGUAGAUAUUAGGAGGAACACCAGUGGCGAAGGCGGCUUACUGGACUGUAACUGACGUUGAGGCUCGAAAGCGCGGGGAGCAUACAGGAUUAGAUACCCUGGUA
rnacentral:rRNA from 1 species